GGGACACGUGGUAUCCUGUCUGAAUAUGGGGGGACCAUCCUCCAAGGCUAAAUACUCCUGACUGACCGAUAGUGAACCAGUACCGUGAGGGAAAGGCGAAAAGAACCCCGGCGAGGGGAGUGAAAAAGAACCUGAAACCGUGUACGUACAAGCAGUGGGAGCACGCUUAGGCGUGUGACUGCGUACCUUUUGUAUAAUGGGUCAGCGACUUAUAUUCUGUAGCAAGGUUAACCGAAUAGGGGAGCCGAAGGGAAACCGAGUCUUAACUGGGCGUUAAGUUGCAGGGUAUAGACCCGAAACCCGGUGAUCUAGCCAUGGGCAGGUUGAAGGUUGGGUAACACUAACUGGAGGACCGAACCGACUAAUGUUGAAAAAUUAGCGGAUGACUUGUGGCUGGGGGUGAAAGGCCAAUCAAACCGGGAGAUAGCUGGUUCUCCCCGAAAGCUAUUUAGGUAGCGCCUCGUGAAUUCAUCUCCGGGGGUAGAGCACUGUUUCGGCAAGGGGGUCAUCCCGACUUACCAACCCGAUGCAAACUGCGAAUACCGGAGAAUGUUAUCACGGGAGACACACGGCGGGUGCUAACGUCCGUCGUGAAGAGGGAAACAACCCAGACCGCCAGCUAAGGUCCCAAAGUCAUGGUUAAGUGGGAAACGAUGUGGGAAGGCCCAGACAGCCAGGAUGUUGGCUUAGAAGCAGCCAUCAUUUAAAGAAAGCGUAAUAGCUCACUGGUCGAGUCGGCCUGCGCGGAAGAUGUAACGGGGCUAAACCAUGCACCGAAGCUGCGGCAGCGACGCUUAUGCGUUGUUGGGUAGGGGAGCGUUCUGUAAGCCUGCGAAGGUGUGCUGUGAGGCAUGCUGGAGGUAUCAGAAGUGCGAAUGCUGACAUAAGUAACGAUAAAGCGGGUGAAAAGCCCGCUCGCCGGAAGACCAAGGGUUCCUGUCCAACGUUAAUCGGGGCAGGGUGAGUCGACCCCUAAGGCGAGGCCGAAAGGCGUAGUCGAUGGGAAACAGGUUAAUAUUCCUGUACUUGGUGUUACUGCGAAGGGGGGACGGAGAAGGCUAUGUUGGCCGGGCGACGGUUGUCCCGGUUUAAGCGUGUAGGCUGGUUUUCCAGGCAAAUCCGGAAAAUCAAGGCUGAGGCGUGAUGACGAGGCACUACGGUGCUGAAGCAACAAAUGCCCUGCUUCCAGGAAAAGCCUCUAAGCAUCAGGUAACAUCAAAUCGUACCCCAAACCGACACAGGUGGUCAGGUAGAGAAUACCAAGGCGCUUGAGAGAACUCGGGUGAAGGAACUAGGCAAAAUGGUGCCGUAACUUCGGGAGAAGGCACGCUGAUAUGUAGGUGAAGUCCCUCGCGGAUGGAGCUGAAAUCAGUCGAAGAUACCAGCUGGCUGCAACUGUUUAUUAAAAACACAGCACUGUGCAAACACGAAAGUGGACGUAUACGGUGUGACGCCUGCCCGGUGCCGGAAGGUUAAUUGAUGGGGUUAGCGCAAGCGAAGCUCUUGAUCGAAGCCCCGGUAAACGGCGGCCGUAACUAUAACGGUCCUAAGGUAGCGAAAUUCCUUGUCGGGUAAGUUCCGACCUGCACGAAUGGCGUAAUGAUGGCCAGGCUGUCUCCACCCGAGACUCAGUGAAAUUGAACUCGCUGUGAAGAUGCAGUGUACCCGCGGCAAGACGGAAAGACCCCGUGAACCUUUACUAUAGCUUGACACUGAACAUUGAGCCUUGAUGUGUAGGAUAGGUGGGAGGCUUUGAAGUGUGGACGCCAGUCUGCAUGGAGCCGACCUUGAAAUACCACCCUUUAAUGUUUGAUGUUCUAACGUUGACCCGUAAUCCGGGUUGCGGACAGUGUCUGGUGGGUAGUUUGACUGGGGCGGUCUCCUCCUAAAGAGUAACGGAGGAGCACGAAGGUUGGCUAAUCCUGGUCGGACAUCAGGAGGUUAGUGCAAUGGCAUAAGCCAGCUUGACUGCGAGCGUGACGGCGCGAGCAGGUGCGAAAGCAGGUCAUAGUGAUCCGGUGGUUCUGAAUGGAAGGGCCAUCGCUCAACGGAUAAAAGGUACUCCGGGGAUAACAGGCUGAUACCGCCCAAGAGUUCAUAUCGACGGCGGUGUUUGGCACCUCGAUGUCGGCUCAUCACAUCCUGGGGCUGAAGUAGGUCCCAAGGGUAUGGCUGUUCGCCAUUUAAAGUGGUACGCGAGCUGGGUUUAGAACGUCGUGAGACAGUUCGGUCCCUAUCUGCCGUGGGCGCUGGAGAACUGAGGGGGGCUGCUCCUAGUACGAGAGGACCGGAGUGGACGCAUCACUGGUGUUCGGGUUGUCAUGCCAAUGGCACUGCCCGGUAGCUAAAUGCGGAAGAGAUAAGUGCUGAAAGCAUCUAAGCACGAAACUUGCCCCGAGAUGAGUUCUCCCUGACUCCUUGAGAGUCCUGAAGGAACGUUGAAG
rnacentral:rRNA from 1 species